GCCCACCGCCGAGGUUAAGCCAUCCACAAAUCUGUUCUCAGUUCGGAUCGCAGUCUGCAACUCGACUGCGUGAAGCUGGAAUCGCUAGUAAUCGCGGAUCAGCAUGCCGCGGUGAAUACGUUCCCGGGCCUUGUACACACCGCCCGUCACACCACGAGAGUUUGUAACACCCGAAGUCGGUGAGGUAACCUUUUUGGAGCCAGCCGCCGAAGGUGGGACAGAUGAUUGGGGUGAAGUCGUAACAAGGAUAGCCGUAUA
rnacentral:rRNA from 1 species